CUUAGCUCUCUUUGCAGCCAGAAUAAAUCCUCAGGCAGAGACCACCAGUAGGAAAGGACUGCUAUGUACAGCUUAGGAGGACCUCUUAAAUGAGGACAGAGAAAAGUGGUUGUAUAUGUGAGCCAGACUUGAAAUACUCAGCUACUGAGCACAACAUAAUCAGACCUGGGGCACUGCAGAGUGAUGGGGAAAAGCAGACAUGAAGGUUGCAAGGACACCGAAGGA
rnacentral:lncRNA from 1 species